GCGGGAAGCGCGGUGGAGACCUGGCCGCUGCGGGAGUUGGAGGGUCAUUUUGGGAGGAGGUCUUUAAUCCGCAUCCAUCCUUGAUGCCGGUGAUUUCCCGCCGACUGCUGCCUCAGGAUAAGGAUCGGGGGGCGGCCGCGGACCGGGUGCCAGCGAUGGAGGAGCCCUCGAAGCCACCCGGAUGAUGCCUGCUAGCCUGACGAGGUACCUGAGGCCCGGAGAAGCAACGUGACUUGCCCAAGGUCACACAGCAGACAUGCGGUGACGCCGGAAUUAGAACCUACGACCUUCUGCCUUCCAGGCCCGUGUUCUGUCCAUUACGCCAUGUGGUUAGGUGCUGAACACCUAAUACCACAGCCUCAAUCUCCCAGCCCAAUUGCUUUUCCCCCCAAGCCUCCCGGCCCCUAACCCUAAAGACCGUCGUUGUUUCGGGUGGGAGACCUGCUGACCUGCUUAGGUGGAGAGAAGAUCGAGCAAGCCGUCUUCUAGUGACACAACUCCUCCAGGCUUCCGGACGAGUCGGUAAUAAGCACAGAAGACAAUAAACAAUUGCUAAACCAUU